UGCCAGAUGCCUUCUUCUCCUCUUCUUGG
rnacentral:piRNA from 1 species